rnacentral:snRNA from 1 species
UCGCACCACGAGGCGCUG